CCAGCCUGAGGACCAGGGGGAAGGAGCUUCUGACCCUGAGUGACCGCAUCCUGCAGUCAGACUUCCGUUCACUGAAACUGGAGGGGAAGAAAGAUGGAUAGGUCAUGAGUUCAAGAGCAUUUAAGUACAAAUCCCACAUUCUCUGGAAAGAUUAGAGAUUGGGUACUUCUUCAUGAGAUGAUUCCUGAAAGAUUUUCACAACUACUUGGGCUUAGCUUGUGUGUGUGUCUGUGAGUGUGUGUGUGUGUGUGUGUGAGAUUUUUUGAAAAUGAUAACGUGUAUAUUUCAAAAAUCCUUGGUGGGAUUGCAAAUUGGUACAAACACUCUAGAAAGCAGUAUGGAGAUCCCUCAAAAAAUUAGAAAUGAGCCAGGCUCAGUAGCACACACCUGUAAUCCCAGUGGCUCAGGAGGCUGAGGUAGGAGGAUCCUGAGUUCAAAGCCAGCUUCAGCAAAAAGCCAGAUACUAGGCAACUCAAUGAGACCCUGUUUCUAAAUAAAAUACAAAUUAGGGCUGAGGUUGUGGCUCAGUGGUCGAGUGUCCCUGAGUUCAAUCCCUGGUAUCUCUGCCCCCCCAAAAAAAUUAGGAAUGGAAUCACCAUUUGACUUACUUAUCCCACUCCUUGGUAUAUACCCAAAGGAGUUAAAAUCAACAUACUACAGUGAGAUAGCCAUAUCAAUGUUUACAGCAGCUCAAUUUAUAAUAGCUAAGCUAUAGAACCAACCUAGGUGCCCUUUUACAGAUGAAUGGAUAAAGAAGUUAUGGUAUAUAUAAAGAGUGAAAUAUUACUCAGCCAUAAAGAAGAAUGACUUCAUGACAUUUGCCAGUGAAUGGAACGAUCUGGAUCUGGAGACUCUCAUGCUAAGUGAAAUAAGACAAUCUCCAAAACCCAAAGGUCAAAAGCUUUUGCUGAUGUGUGAAAACUAAACCACAAUAAAGGGUAAAGGGAAGGAGAGAAGUUCAGUAUAUCAGACAAAGGGGAACAAAAUGAAAGACGGGAUAGGAAUAGGAAAGACGGUAGAAAGAAUCUAACAUAAACUGGGCAUGGUGGUGCAUGCCUGUAAUCCCAGCGGCUCUGGAGGCUGAGGCAGGAGGAUUGCGAGUUCAAAGCCAGCCUCAGCAACAGCGAGGCACUAAGCAACUCAGUGAGACCCUGUCUCUAAAUAAAAUAUAAAAUAGGGCUGGGGAUGUGGCUCAGUGGUUGAGUGCCCGAGUUCAAUCCCCAGUAUCAAAAAAAAAAAAAAAAAAAAGAAUCUAACAUAAUUUUCCUAUGUACACAUAUGACAUAUACCUAAGUGCCCACCACAAGAAUAGGGUCUUAAUUAGAAUAAGGUAUAUCCCAUGCUUGUAUAAUUUUAUUGAAAUGCUUUCUCCUGUCAUGUAUAACUAAAAAAGAACCAAUAAAAAAAUAGGGUGAUGUAAAAAAAAUUUUAAAAGCAAUCACCAGAAAAAAAAAUAUAUAGGGCAUUAUAUAUAUAUAUAUAUCUCCAUAAUCUUACAAACCCCCCAAAAAAAUCUUUUCAAGCAUAUGUAAGUUUAAUGUUCUUGAAAUAAGUUAGUCUUUUAUUAUAUAGAUGAUUUUAUAUAGCCUCUUUCAUUCAUGUUGUUAUUAACAUAAUCUUAUAAUGUCAUAUUCAUUACACUCGUUAACAUAAACAUUUCCCUAGAUUAUUAAAAGUUUUCAAAAUACUUUAAUGGCUUCCCUUAUGCCUCUGUAUUUUGUGAUUGUAAAACAGAAGCAAAUAUAGAAU
rnacentral:lncRNA from 1 species